GUUGGUAAGGCGGGUCCGCGGACCCCAGGUCGAGCCCAGCGGCAGUGCAGGAUCGCAAGCGGCCCGGCACCGGCGCCGCAGGUUACAAAAACCUGAGACUUCCAUUUUGCUGGAAACUUCUUUUCCUCUUGCACACUCACUCUGCGACUCUGUGUGGAGAGCUCCAUGUGACAAGGGAGGUCUGCAGCCUAAGCAACUGAGACCUCAGCCCAACAGCCCUCAAAGAACUGGAUCUUCAAACAACCACAUGAGUGACCUAGAAGCAAAUCUGUCACCAGUGCUCUUGAGACGGAGAAAAGAUCAUGAUCUAAGAGUCUACAAGACCAGAGCAGCCUGAAUUGCUGAGCUGCCUGGUGGAGAAUAGCAGCAUUGGGUGGUUCCCAGGAUUCUUAAAAGGACUUUACAAAGGCCUGGCCUAAUCACUUAAGAGCUCUUAAGGAGUGAAUGGGCUCUUCCUGAAAAAAGAGCUUCUG
ensembl:lncRNA TMX4-AS1 TMX4 antisense RNA 1